rnacentral:snRNA from 1 species
AGCGCUGAGCCGCACACGAAUCUUACAUCUCUUUCGCCUUUUACUAAAGAGAUCAGCGGGAGCGGCUCACAAAGGCGCAUAUCUCAAUCUUUGUAGGCCUAUUGGCCC